CACCCACUGAAUCCAGCAGGCAUAGGAUCACUCCUCAGAUGAAGUCACAAGUUUUUCUUUCCUUCUGAACUGAGGGAAUCCUGGCUGCGAGACUCUUUUGGAACCAGUGGAGCUGCCAAGCUUGUGUGAUCACUUUUCUUUCUGCAGCUGCUGUGGUGGGAAGCUUAGAAAUAUUUAAGCAACUGAGUACUGAGUGCAGUGGGUUGAACUUCAGUGAGGAUAAAACUGCUGGAGAAAAUGGUCUCACCUGAACCGUUUGCCAUCAGUGAGCUUUUGGAUCUCAUAGAAGCCCUUUCCCUGCAGGUUGUGAAAGAUGAAGGCUAACUCUUCAAGGAUUACUCUCUUAUCAGGCUUCUGAUGUCUGAGCCUGGAAAAUGUGAUCUGUGACCAGUGGAGAAGUGGCAGAAGAUCUUCAUGGAAGUUCCAGAACUGUCAUAGCUGUAGGCUGUAAUUGCUCUGUAAUGAGUGUCCUAAUAUUGACUGCCUUUGUCCUGAACUGCUUUUUCUCUUAAAGGGAAAAAAUCAGCUUACUUGUUAAUUUAAUAUCAGGUAGAAUGUUUUAAAAUGGGGAAACAAUAGCUUCUGAAAUCUGCUUUGCAUUUAAUAAAAUGAAUGUUUCAACAUAAUUUUUUUAAACA
rnacentral:lncRNA from 1 species